CAGACCUCUGAUCAGGGAAGACUACCCGCUGAGUUUAAGCAUAUCAAUAAGCGGAGGGAAA
rnacentral:rRNA from 1 species